CGGCGGCGGGCGGGGCCGGGCGGGGCCGGGCGGCGGCGGCGGGCGGAGUGACGCGCCCCGGCCCCGCCCCGCUCACCUCCCGCCCCGCCCCUGCCGCCGCUCCCGCCUGGCAGCCGCGGCGCCCGGCAGCGCCUCUCCUGCGUGCGCUCCCUCCGCUUGGUACGGCCCACCCCGCCGGGGAUCAUGGCGAUUGAUGGUGGAGAACGAACUUGUGGUGUACAUGAACUGAUCUGCAUCAGAAAAGAUAAGGUGGCACACACAGUGCUCGGUAUUCCUUCUGUAAUAGCUGCUGUUUAUCUUUCUGAAUUGGGAAACUCAUUGGAAUUUCAGAAAGCCCUCUGAUGAACUUUCAUGAACUGUUAAUCUUGCUUAUCCUUAUUUAUUUUAGGAUGCUGUACUGAUUUUAAGAAAAACAAAUUUAUCAUGUUCUUGGAGACAGUGCUGUAUGAUUUUAAUGUUAAUUGCUGGGAAGUUAAAUUGGAAAGGUGUGUUGUUUGUUUUUUCAAGAUUCUGUGUUAUAUUUGAGCAUUGAAUUCUAAGCUCU
rnacentral:lncRNA from 1 species